GAGCACGUAGGUGGGUUUGUAAGUCAGAUGUGAAAGCCUUCUGUUCAACGGAAGAAUUGCAUCUGAAACUGCGAGUCUUGAGUAUAGGAGGGGAGAAUGGAACUUCUGGUGGAGCGGUGAAACGCGUAGAUAUCAGAAGGAACGCCGGCGGCGAAAGCGAUUCUCUGGCCUAUUACUGACACUCAGUGUGCGAAAGCUAGGGGAGCAAACGGGAUUAGAUACCCCGGUAGUCCUAGCCGUAAACGAUGGGCACUAAGUAGAGGGAAUUACCGAUAUUCUCUCUGCCGUAGCUAACGCAUUAAGUGCCCCGCCUGGGGAGUACGGCCGCAAGGCUAAAACUCAAAAGAAUUGACGGGGGCUCGCACAAGCGGUGGAGCAUGUGGCUUAAUUCGAUGCAACGCGAAAAACCUUACUGGGGCUUGACAUGGUAGAAGUAGGAACCCGAAAGGGUGACGAACGGUAUCCAGUCCGUAGCUAUCACAGGUGUUGCAUGGCUGUCGUCAGCUCGUGUCGUGAGACGUUGGGUUAAGUCCCCUAACGAGCGAAACCCUUGUUUUUAGUUGCCAGCGGGUUGUGCCGGGCACUCUAGAAAGACUGCCGUCGUCAAGACGGAGGAAGGUGGGGAUGACGUCAAGUCAUCAUGGCCCUUAUGCCCCGGGCUGCACACGUGCUACAAUGGUCGGUACAAACGGAAGCGAAGCCGAGAGGUGAAGCGAAUCC
rnacentral:rRNA from 1 species